GCGAGAGUGGCGGAAUGGUAGACGCAGUCGACUCAAAAUCGACCGCCUUUUAGGCAUGGGGGUUCGAGUCCCCCCUCUCGCACCA
rnacentral:tRNA from 2 species